rnacentral:lncRNA from 1 species
AUUUUAUCAUCUCAUAAACAUGAAUAACUUUCAAAGGAACUAAAAAUUGUAGUUACAAAUUAUUAAAGGAAACGAACCAAUCAUUACGAAUCCAAAUGCCUUCACACUUGACAUGUAGAAUGGUGGGGUUGCUAUCGAAAAAAUGUAGAGGAAACUAUGAAUUCUUUCAUACAAAUAAUUGUGCAGUUUUCCAAAAUUAAGUAAAGGCCUGGAUGACCAUUCUUUUCAUUCUCUCCACUUCCAUUCAAAGAGCAACGCAUUCAAAGAAAUAGUUUUUGUUUGAAAUUUCAAAUUUGAGUGGAAAGGCAGUUAUAAACAAGUAUAUCUAUGGAGUCAAAUCAUAUUAUAGCAUUCUUAGUGCCCAUUAGCAGAUAACAAACCUUGCUGAGGCUUGCAAAUACAUUUGUAAAUUGUUAUUUGCAGAUGUACACAUGUUGCAAUCGUGGAGCACUUUGUUAGGCAAUUAGGGGGCAUGUCAUAAUCACGGUGAUAAUAAUUUCUUUUAUUAUUAUUAUAUAUAUAUCUGUACUGUACAAAUUUUAUGUGAAUAGAAUAUAAUAUUUCAUUUUGCCUUCUUUCCAGAUUUCAUUAUAUGGUAUCAGAGCAAUUAUGACGUCUCCAAACUCCAGCUCAGAAAAUCAAGUCCCAACCACUAAAUCCGGCCUUAAUCUGAUCAAUACUGCUAAACCCACUCCAAAUUUCUCCUUAUCUCAACCUGCCCAACCUAUAAAUAAUGCAAAUCAACUAGCUAUUGUGUACCUGGAUGAUGGAAAUUUUCUCAUUUAGAGACAGCAUGUUCUUCCUGGUAUUCGCGGUUUUGGGUUGGAAGGAUUUAUUGAUGCUUCUGCUGUCUGUCUACCAGAACUCACUCCAACCAAGGUCCGUCAACCCGGACUAUGUCUUCUGGCAUCGUCAAGACCAAUUGAUAUUUUCUUGGUUAUUGGCAUCAAUGACAGAGUAUUCAAGCCCAAAUGGUGGGAUCAAGCACUGCUAGUGAUAUUUGGAAAAUUGUUGCACGUCUGUUUGCAUCUAGAACUAAGGCAGAGGUGAUGCAACAUAAACUUCAACUCCAGACCCAAAAGAAAGGAGGUUUGAGUAUGCGAGAAUACCUUUUGAAGAUGAACACAUAUGCUGAUGUUCUUACUUCUGCUGGAGAAAAGAUUUCAGAGGACCAAAUACUCUAUGUUCUAGCUAGGUUGGAAAUCGAGUAUGAAUCUGUUAUCGUCUCUGUUACAUCACGUGUUGAGCCCUACUUCUUACAAGAUGCAACUGAACUUUUUCUCGUACAUGAAAAUCGGAUUGAACAGUAUUCCGCAAAUGGAGAUGUGUGACAACCUACUAUAAAUCUGGCACUUCAAGACCAGUCAAAGAAAAAUGGGGACAGCAGUCAAAAAUUCCCUCACGAAAGAAUCCGAACUUACAUGGUAGAAGCCGCGGUAGAAUCAGAACAUGGAAUGGCAAUAGCAUGCCUCAGUGUCAACUUUGUGGUAUAUUUGGUCUAGAUAUGGCAACGGUUCGGCUAAAACUAUCAUCGAAGCACCAAUUUUUUAGUCAUACCACAAUUGCACCAUAACUACGUAAGUUGGUUCGGUUCGUAUUUCGAUUUGCCUUGAUUUGAGUCGUUAAUAACCACGAAAAUAUAUUAUUUUUUAUGGGUCCAUUCAUCAAAUAUUUUAAAAAAAUUAUGAAAGAAAGUCAAUGAAAACAAAAAUAUAAUACUAAGCCAAUGUAGCAAAACAACAUCACAAAUGAAAAUGCAAACAAUAUUCCAAUUCUCAAAUGCAAAAUCCGAAUUUAACAAAUAAUACUAAACAAUAUCUUUAUCCCUUGAUCCUUGUGCAUAGAACUUGAUUUCUACUCAAUAACUCAAAAAUUUCAAUCUCAAUUUAUAUUCAAUCUUUAUUCUUCCCCACAACUCUUAUUAGGAUUCGCAAAAUCUCAAAGUUGAUUUUUAUAUAGUAUAUAAGAAAUGUAAAUAGAGUAAUAAUCUAUAAUGGUUUUAACUAAAUAUUUAAACAAAAAAAAUGUACUUCUUCGUCAACAUUCUCAUCGUCAAACCUUGCACAAGUUCUAGAGUAUGAUGAAGGAGCAAAAUUUUCUACAAACAAAAGAGGAAAAAAAUUAGCAAUAUAAGAAGGUGCAUGAAUAUCAAAUAUAAAACAAUAAAUCCAAUUAUUAUUUUUUUAACGGGUAAUGGUUCGUGGCAGGGCAACGGUACGAAUACCAUAUCCGCCUCGCCCUGAAUCGAGUCAUUAAAAUCAAAUACCAUAUCCGCUUCAUUUCACCAUCAAUUCACUUAACCGCGAUUUUUAGUUUUGACAGUUGGAAUUGUCAUCCUUAAUUUGGUCACACGGCACAGAAAUGCUACCAUCGUUUUGACCCUUCAUUUCUCUGGUCUCAAUGGUGCUAGGAAUACUAAUACUCUUUCGGGUAAUCAAAG